GGGCGAUUAGCUCAGGGGUAGAGCACCUCCCUUACAAGGAGGGGGUCGCUGGUUCGAACCCAGCAUCGCCCACUA
rnacentral:tRNA from 1 species